CUGUGGUAGGGAGCGAGCGAGCGCGCGCCUCCUGCUGCGGGUCCCUCCCUGCCUCUCCUUGCAAAUCCCUCCCCGCAGGCCGCUGUUGCUCCCCACAAUGUCCGGUGCUGCCCCCUGCCAAGGGCAGAGCGGGCUGGAGGACGGGCCGAAACCUGCCACGCCCUGCUCAGCUUCUUAGUAGAGGCGAAGGAGGAGGGUGCCGGCCCGCCUCUGCGCCCUCUGUAACCCCAGGCUUUGACAGCCUGCAGAGAAAAGGCCGGGAGAGGUGUAAUUGAACACAUCGCUUUCAUUUGACAGGGGAUGCCAGUGGCAGGUUGUGACUGAUGCGGCCUCAAGGUAGUUUCGCUUAAUGAGGUUAUGGGAGAGAGAGAGCCAUGUCCGAAGAAGCAGUUAGAGAGACGCACUUUUCUUUGAAGACGGCAGCUUUACGAGUGUUUCAUCUUCCCCUUUCCUGGUAUUAUUCUCUCAUUCAGAUAAAUCUUUCUCCUGGGUUGAAGAAGCUGUUUGCAGUAACAGCAGUGAGUGCAGUAUCUGUAAUUUUUCUGGCCCACCAUUUUAAAAGAAGACGAGGAAAAAAAAGCCGGAAAGUGUCACCAUGGGAACCAGGCCAUCUUUUACUAGAAUGUACAAAAACAGUUGCAUCGGAAAAAGGUUCCAGUUGUUCCAGUAGCAGACAAAACUUGACCCUUUCUUUGAGUUCAGCCAAAGAAAAAGGAUCUCAGUCUUGUAUCUAUGCAAAUGGAGGACCUUUUAGUAAAUAUUCUGGUUCAGUACAGAGUUUGGUCUCGGUUCAAAGUGCCACCUCCUGUCACAGCUGUGCUUGUGCCAAUUCCAAUUCAUGGGAUAAAACAGAUGAAGAUGAUAUUAAACUUGUCAAUAUUCCAGUUACUACUCCUGAAAACUUGUACUUAAUGGGUAUGGAGCUUUUUGAAGAGGCCCUACGUCGGUGGGAGCAGGCACUGACUUUCCGUACCAGACAAGCUGAAGAUGAAGCAAGUUGUAGUUCCAUCAAACUAGGAGCAGGAGAUGCCAUUGCAGAAGAGAGUGUAGAAGAUAUCAUUAGUGCUGAAUUCAUUCAUAAGCUUGAAUCCCUUCUUCAAAGAGCUUAUCGUCUCCAGGAGGAGUUUGAAGCCACCCUUGGUGCUUCUGAUCCUGCUUCCCUAGCUAAUGAUAUUGAUAAAGAUACAGACAUCACUGUGAAGGAUAAUACCGAUGAUUUCUGCCUGCGAGAUACAUUGAGCAUUGCAUCAACAGACUCCUUUGUUUCAGCAGCUGAGCUUACAGAGCACAGAGAGAUCCGAAAUACCUAUGGUCUAGAUACUCUUUGCCAUUGUCCAUUAUAUGAAGAAGCCAUGCAUUUAGCAGAGGAGGGCAAAAUAUAUUCCAGAGUAUUAAGGACUGAAAUGUUUGAAUGUCUGGGAGACAGUGACUUUCUUGCUAAGCUUCACUGUAUUCGACAGGCUUUUCAGGUAAUACUUUCAGAGACAGCCAACAGAAUAUUUCUUGCUGAAAGUGGAAGAAAAAUUUUGUCUGCGUUAAUUGUGAGAGCGCGAAAGAAUCCAAAAAAAUUUGAAGAUGUUUUUGAUGAAAUGAUAUAUUUUUUAGAGCAAACUGACCAUUGGGAUAAUACUGAAAUGGAACUUGCUGCUAGAGGGGUGAAAAAUGUAAAUUUUUAUGAUGUUGUUCUGGAUUUUAUACUCAUGGAUUCUUUUGAAGAUUUAGAGAAUCCACCUAUAGCUAUACAGAAUGUGGUGAACAACCGCUGGCUAAAUUCUUCCUUUAAAGAAACUGCAGUGGCUUCAAGCUGUUGGUCAGUAUUGAAGCAAAAACGUCAGCAAAUGAAUGUACCUGAUGGGUUUUUUGCACACUUCUAUGCCAUUUGUGAGCAUAUCAGCCCUGUUUUGGCAUGGGGAUUUCUGGGCCCGAGAAACUCUCUAUAUGAUUUAUGCUGCUUCUUUAAGGAUCAAGUACUUUUCUUCCUCAAAGACAUUUUUGACUUUGAAAAAGUGAGAUAUUCAACUAUGGAAAGUUUAGCUGAAGAUCUUAUGCAAUUACUAAUCCGACGCACUGAACUUUUAAUGGCCUACCUUGGAGCGGAUUCACUGAGACAUGUCAGUGGCUGUGUAAGUGGUCAUGGGCAUGUCGUGGCCACUGGGCUUUUGGAAGCAAAAGUACAAUAAGCUUAAAGAUGACCACACACAAUCACAUGCACCUUGAUUUCCCCCUCACGCAGGGCUAUCAUUGCUGUUAUUGAGCAAGUAUCUGAAAUUUACCAUGUCACUAAAUACAGAAUGGACUCAGGGAGGUUUAAAAGAAAAACAUCUAGGGAAAGAACUGGUAAACAUAUUACUGUACAUAUUAAAUAAAAAAGAUACAGCUCAGCUGUUACUGUAUUUACAUGUAAUGUAUCCAAAAGCUUUUUUCUGCAAUACUUGGAUAAAAUUUAUGAAAUACUGUGCGUUUGCCACAGAUUAUUUCUGAGUGAAGCUAGUGUAUGGUAAGUGGAGUUGUCUCAUUGUAUGAAACUGUCAGAACAAAGUCUCAAAAGCUCUACCAUGUGUGUUUCUAUCUAGAAAGUGUUUCAGACAAGGUGUACACCACCUCCAAUUUAUGUGACAGAUGCAAUAAAAUGAUUAUACAUGCAGGGACAUGUUUAACUUUCCCUGAAUUGCAUUUGUGCGGGUGUAGGUUGUCAUUUUAUACUGAAGCAUAAUGGAGUGAUGCAGUAAAUGCAGUCACCAUUUGGGCAGUAAUGACUUCCAGUAUGCAUUGUUCAUGUAACUUUUCAUUGUGUAAUUUAAGUGAAAAAUGUAAAUGCAGAUUGGCGUUGUCUUAAUGGAUGUAAAGAAAUCAUUACUGAGAUUUAUAUUUGAAAUCACUAUUGUGAGAUCACUGUUUACUGUAUCUAAAAGAAAUUACACUUUAAUGGAUCAGCACAUUGGUUUAAAAAUCAUCCUUCUAGAGCUCAUAAAACUUUAUAUCAGGGGUGUCAAAGAUCCAGCCUGUGAACUGGAUCUGGUCUGCAGAGCCUUAUAAUCUGGCCCCUGGUGUUGCCCCUGGGUCUUGGAUUGGACCAGCAUACUGCUGUGGUGCACACUGGACCAGCCCCCCAUGCUGCUUGGGAAGCAUGGGGCUGGUGUGGUGCGUGUUGUGGGUGAUGCGUGGAGCCAGUCCAGAGUGCAUGUUGCUGCACUCUGGUCUGGUCCAGAGUAUAUGCUGCUAUUGCUCUCAGGGCUAGUCCAGGUCACAGGCUUCUGGCUACACUUCAGGCUGGUUUGGGUCACAAGCUGCUGUUGAACUCCAGGCCAAUCUGGAUCACAGGCUACCUGCGGCACUGCACCCAACCUUUCCCAUGUGCUGAAUCCAGCAUGCGGGGCCAGUCUUCAGGGUGGAUCCAGCCGAAGUACCCACCCAGGGCUACUCAGCCAGCCCACAAGGCCUAAUGAGUUUGACACCCCUGCUUUAUAUGAUAGUUUUUGGAUAAUUAUUGUCAUUCUUGGUUUAAAUGUAGUAUUUUGACUAAGGAUAGAUGAUCAAACUUAUUAAUCAUGAAACAGUAUUGAAAAAAAUGUUGCUUUAUCUUUAAAAUCUUUCUCAAUCUCUACUCGCCCCCAAAAAACAGUAAAUAUUUGAGCUUUGGCAAAUGACUUACUGUCUGCGUAUGCAUACAGAACUGGUGCUCGCUCUAGAGAAACUUUUAGUUGUUGUUUUGAAUCUUCAGAUAUAGUUUUGGAGGAAAAAUAUGUUUUCUGGAUAUUUCAGAACAUCUUUUGCAUAGAAUUUUAAAGGAAUUAGUGAUUAUCCAGCAUCUGAAGAUCACAGAACCUAGAAUAAAUUUAUCUUUUGAAAUAGCUUUCUACAUUUCUUAAGUCCUAGGUUCUGACAUUUACAGCUUCAAGGCUGAAAAUGUGGCAGGUGUAAUAUUGCACUGUGAGCAGAGCUUAGUACAAUUAUUUCAGCAAAUCUAUUACUUAACAAAAAUGCAGUUUCAAAGCAGCCAGUACUAUUCAGAUUAGGUCAAUUUGGCAAAGCGGUUUUGUCCAAGAAAAAAAAUUAAAAUAAUUAAAAUGUCUAAUCAAACCAUUUGGACACUUCCAAAAGGAAAUGCGUGCUUAUUUUUUUGUUAGAUUGAAAGAGGAACUUGGAAGGCAUUCAUUAAGUUAGGGAUGAUAUAAUGGUGGCGAUGAUGGAUAGCUUUCUAACCCAACAAUUAGGAGACUCAGAUUCAAAGCUCCUCCCUGCCUCAUUCAGGAUUUACUGGGAUGGGUCACCCUCAAGUUAUGCUCACCUCCUGAUAAUAAAUCUGUGUCAUUUGGUGUUAAUAGUUAUUCACUGAAGCAAAGACUGUAACCUGUUAUUUCUCAGAUGAGUGGUUUAAACCUGCCUCCUAGUGAUUUUGUCUAGCUCAAUGAAUAUUUAAGUAUUUUAUGGAAAGUUGAACAGCCUUACCAGGAAAGACUGAGAAAAUUCACCCUGGAAUACCCUAGAAUCUAGAGAUUAGGACAAGCUCAUGGGAAGUGAUAGACCUCUGUUCCAACCCCUUCUCCAAAUCAAGCAGAAAGGGAAUUGGAAUCUAGGUCUCCAUCAUGAAAGUGUGCCCUGGACACUGUACUGUAAGGUAAAUGUGCAGCACCAUAAUUUUGUUAACAACAUGUAAAAUUACCUUGUGAAUGAAAGCCUUCAAUUUCCAGGUUUCCCUCUGCUUAUUUAAAAUCAGGUGCAACCACCUCAGAAUAAAAUAUAACAUUUGAUACUAAAUUAAUUUUCAACCUGCCAAAAAAAAAAUUGUGCUUGGUUAAAGUGAAAACAAAUUUUCAAUGUUUCAGAACAGCCAGGGAAGCAAAAACAUCGUUUGCCCAGCUCUUACCAUAACUUAAAAAGCAAAAGUAUGAAAAAUGAACUUAAAACCUUGUUUAAUAUAUUGUUUUAUUCAACUGAGUAUAUUAACAUAUCCCUUCCUGAUUGUUUAUGGGGCAAUAAGUUAAAUAUGCUUCCAUAAAAAAAAA